GACGAACGCUGGCGGCGUGCCUAAUACAUGCAAGUCGAACGCUGAAGAGAGGAGCUUGCUCUUCUUGGAUGAGUUGCGAACGGGUGAGUAACGCGUAGGUAACCUGCCUUGUAGCGGGGGAUAACUAUUGGAAACGAUAGCUAAUACCGCAUAACAAUGGAUGACACAUGUCAUUUAUUUGAAAGGGGCAAUUGUUCCACUACAAGAUGGACCUGCGUUGUAUUAGCUAGUAGGUGAGGUAAUGGCUCACCUAGGCGACGAUACAUAGCCGACCUGGGAGGGUGAUCGGCCACACUGGGACUGAGACACGGCCCAGACUCCUACGGGAGGCAGCAGUAGGGAAUCUUCGGCAAUGGGGGCAACCCUGACCGAGCAACGCCGCGUGAGUGAAGAAGGUUUUCGGAUCGUAAAGCUCUGUUGUAAGUCAAGAACGGGUGUGAGAGUGGAAAGUUCACACUGUGACGGUAGCUUACCAGAAAGGGACGGCUAACUACGUG
rnacentral:rRNA from 1 species